ACGAACGCUGGCGGCGUGCCUAAUACAUGCAAGUAGAACGCUGAAGGAGGAGCUUGCUUCUCUGGAUGAGUUGCGAACGGGUGAGUAACGCGUAGGUAACCUGCCUGGUAGCGGGGGAUAACUAUUGGAAACGAUAGCUAAUACCGCAUAAUAGUAGAUGUUGCAUGACAUUCGCUUAAAAGGUGCAAUUGCAUCACUACCAGAUGGACCUGCGUUGUAUUAGCUAGUUGGUGGGGUAACGGCUCACCAAGGCGACGAUACAUAGCCGACCUGAGAGGGUGAUCGGCCACACUGGGACUGAGACACGGCCCAGACUCCUACGGGAGGCAGCAGUAGGGAAUCUUCGGCAAUGGACGGAAGUCUGACCGAGCAACGCCGCGUGAGUGAAGAAGGUUUUCGGAUCGUAAAGCUCUGUUGUAAGAGAAGAACGAGUGUGAGAGUGGAAAGUUCACACUGUGACGGUAUCUUACCAGAAAGGGACGGCUAACUACGUG
rnacentral:rRNA from 1 species